CAACUAGGACUAACUGUAGGGUUAGUUCUGCGAUACCACCCUACUCUUUUAUUUCCAUGAGUUCUGUUUUAAAACUCAUCAGCUGGAAACAUUAGGUCUGCUGGAAACAGAUUCAACCAACUCACAAAAGAGCCAGAGGAUCUGGAAACAUUCCGAUUUUGGAGGGACCUGCUGACAGCUGCUGUACUGCUUGGGCAGAGUCCAGGCCCCUAUCUUGUGGUCUGUGAAAGCUCCUCCAAAGCCCUAAUUGCACUUCAGAUGUUGAGCGUUGUUUUCACUCAGCUCUCAACCAACGUAAACUUGCCCAGCACCAUCCUAAAAGCCCAUUUAGAAUCACCUCCCUCACUGGUAAAGCUCUCAGCGCCUGCUGUCUGCUUUGCCAAUUAAAAGAGUCAGGGCAUGUGACAUAGCUUGAUGUUUGAACAUGUGUGCCCAUCUGUAUGUGUUUGUGUGCGGUUGUGUGUGUAUGCCUGCAGGUCUAGAGGAGCCAUGUGUCUCUGUGUCUCUGGAUGUUUACCCAAUUACUGCGGGAAGUCCAAUGGGUCCCAUGCUGAAAGAUGUCUGCAGCCACAGAAAUCAUACUUUGUCUCCAAGGGAAACAUUUGCUUCAGGACUCAGUUGUUACAAUGACAAAUGCUGAAGGACGCCAAGAUUACAGCUCCAUCCCAAAAGUUCAGAGGGCCAUGGUAAUAAAAUGAGUGUUAUCAGGGCCGAGGAUGCAACAACUUUGAUCCAGAAGACCAGAUGAUCCACAUCAGCUUAGUUUGCAGUCUGCUGUCGACUACCUCAAAGCCAUCAGCAGGAGGCAUGACAUUGCAUGAAAAUAUAUCACUGACACCACUGCUUUGCAAGAGGUGAUUGUUACACCUAAGUCAUACAUACAAAAUAUGAAUAUUGUUCAUCCAGUUAAUCUACUUGGCAUGAGUGUCAGUGCUGAUUUCUGAAAACAGAAAAGUAUUUCAAAACAAUACAGGCCACAUCUGUGUAUUAUUAAUGUUCCCAAACAGUAACUUUUCUUUUUUUUCUCUUGGCAUGUAAAGAUUCAAUAUGUGGAUCCUUUGAGAUUUUUAAUUGUAUUUUUUCCAGAUGCAAUAGAGAUAGAGGCUAGCCCCUGUAUCAGAUGAAGACCACCUGUGAAGUAUCCACAGUCACCACAUCAAACUACAUAUCUGCCAUAUUAAAUUGCCAUCUAUAUAGCUGUUCAUUUAUAUUUGUGACUUGUAAU